GGAGAUCCCUGCAUACUGAGGUCUUCCAAAGGUCUUUAUCAGAACAGCAUGAGAUAUCCAAGGGGAGUAAAGCAAAGAAGCAUUCCCUUCCCCGAGACAGAGGCAGAGCUCAGCCCCAGGAGCGGUGCUGCAGGCAGGGCUGUGAGUCCCGCAGGAUCAGAGGGCAGUCCUGCCAUGCGCUGCUUUAAACCUUUCCCUGCUCUGCAGAACUGUCCUCAUCGUGUUUCUGACACAGUGUUGGCUGGAACAGUGCCCAGUGAGCAGCACUGCAUCACAGAUAUGAGUUUCCCCAGCUGCUUCCUACCUGGCCCUGAGAUCCAACUCCUGGCCAUUCCUCCCCCACCGCCCAUAGGCUUGAACCUGCUCCAGGCCUGUUUCAAUCUGAAAGUAUUAACCUUUCUCCAAGGGACCCGACCCAAGUUUUACAGUCACCUCCACUGGUUCAUGCACUUUACUUGUGGUUCAGCUCCACACCAGCUCUGGGCUUUCCCUGGGCAGUAGCCUGCUUGUCACCCCAUAAGCCAGACAGGCUGCAGUGCUUUGCUGAGCAUUAAUUGAGGCCGGUAGCAUUGUGCAGUUUACUGGAAGUUACUUUUUCCUUCAACACUUCUCAGAGGAUAAAAGGCACCCGAUGUCUCCUGGUGGCUGAUGGAGGGAGCAGAGGAGCCCACCCUGCAGCCAUGGGCUCUGCACAGGGUCCCAGCACCACAGCUGACAUGGGAGAGGUGCAGACUGUGGUGCGACCCUUCUUCACUUGCAGGAGGCUCUCAAUGCUCACCAGCUGCCUUUGACUCCACAAGAAAAGCUGAAUGAAUGCAAUUUUCCACUCCCAUUGUCUCUCCUGGCUAAAUACUGCUGCUGUUCUCAGACUUUUAUGACUGUGCAGCCGGUGUUCCACGCACAGCACAGCUCCUGGCCCUGCUAUUAUACCUUUGGCAAGAAAACAUUAGGUUUUUAUGGAAAUAAAAAAAAAAAAAAGUGGGAGUGCAAGAGAGAACCUGAACCUAACACUAGGGGCCUUAUUUUUUGGGGUAGAAGCCCAACAGAAUGGCUGGGCUCCAAAACUUCUUGGCUAUUGCACUGCACACGCAGUGCUUUCCUGUCCACAUCUUUUGUCCUCCCUGCUCCUUUCCCUUUCGACCCUUUCUGACCUCUUGGAAUGGAUCUGGUCUCUGUAGGUCACUAUUCUGUAUUAUGUUGCAUGAGAGGUCCCAAGCAGCCUUGCAGUUACAACAGGUACAAUAUUCUAGAAGAACUUUAGCUCUGGCUUUCCUCUGUGCGUGGCCCUGUGGGUCCCUGAAGCCCUGGGGCUGAUGGGUAUGGCUUUAGGGAACUGCUGGGGGGAUCCCAGAACUGCUGGAACCUGCAUGGGGAAAACUGCUUGGAUAAAAUGGGGAUUUUAUUCAUUGCAAGUAUUAGAGAUUGACUCUGUGGGGUGGAUUUCCUCACCCCAGAGUAAGAGACAGUGAUGGAUGCAGGCAAGAUCAGAGCUUGGCAGAGGUUUUCCUUGUGCACAGGUGUCCCUGGGGUGGUAGUUGGACUCAACGGACUUAAAGGUUUUUUCCAACUCUCAUAAUUCUGUAAUGCUAUCCCUACUUUACCUACAGAGAAGAGGAGUCCUUGGGUAUUUCAUGCAUGUCCUGGGGACAAAGGUGUGCUCAUAGCCAAGUGUUCUGCUUGAGCCACGUGAGAUUUCUGUGCUUCUCCAGGCUGGGACUCAGUACAGCAUCUCAGCAAAGCACUGGCAUCCGUGGGGAGACAGGAAAACAAAGUGAUGAUCUGUUUUCUAAUUGUCUGCCAGCCUCUCCAACCUCCUCGCCCACACCCUCCUGCAAUCUGGUGAUUAACUUAAUUACAGCUGCAGCUCCUGGAGCUGGCCCAGCCUGGGAGGAGAGCAGUGCCAGGAGGGUCUCGCUUCCUGCAGCCUGCCUGGGCUCAGACCAGGAACGUGGACCUGGCUGUAGAUGCAGAUCCCAUUGUCUCAUGUGUGGGAUUUAAUUGUUAAUCCCAAUGCACGCCAGAUGUGUGGGACCUGUUGUGUGGAAAGAAUACUUUUGGUAGAGAAGAACAAGGGCUCAGUUUCUCCAGCAAAGGGUGAGGGGAGAGAAGUUUUGUACGCAGCAUCAAAGGAGGCAAGUAUAAUGGAUGACACCGUGCUCUACUGUGGGUACGAGCAGUGCUGAGGGAUGAAAGGAAUCUUCUCCUAGCAGGUCCCUGUGGCUGAGCUACAGUGCUCACUUAACACCGGUGCUCAAUGUUCUAAAGCACCUUUCACCUGCAGUGGUUUUUAGGAAGCCCCUGGAGCUGACAGCUGGGCUCUGUGCCCCUCUCCCUGCCGAGGGUCUGGGUGUGCUCUGCUUCCUGCAGAAAGCAGCAGAGGAGGCCUGCAGGGCUGCUGCAGAGCAGGACGGGUGGUGCAGGAGGGAGCGCAGUUGCAGCCCUGGUUGCUGGAGGUGAGGCUGGGUGAUGCUGCCCAGCUCCCAAAUGUCACCGCUCCCCCUGCCGCCCACUGCCGCUGUCCCUAUGAAAUGUCAGACCGCAGAGCUGGGAGUGCUGAGGCUGUCUGGGCUCAGGUGUGGCUGCCCCAUGGCUGCUGGCUCCGGCCCCGCACAC